AUGCCUGAGAGUUUCAUGUUUACUCCCAGCAGCACCUUAGACUGAUGACACUUUCUGUUUGUAGAUAAUUUAUGAGCAAUAAGAAACAGCUGUUAGGCUGUCCAUAAUCACUGAUGGCUGUGUUUUACCCGCUGUAAAGAACUCAGAAUGAGAAAUAUGAAGAUUUCAGAAUUGCUGUGGUUUGCAAUGGCAGCAUUGCACUGUGGGAUAACAGAAGACAUAAACUUUAUUAUGGGUAACUGUAAUGAUACCAUCAGACUUCCUUGUACAGCUACUAACCGAACAAAAUCUUACCGUUACGUCAUGUGGUAUAAAACAGAUAAUCUUCCUAUCAUCAAGAGGAAAAAGACUGAAUUUGCAUACUAUAACUUGACCAAUGUUUCUCUGGAACUUGAUGAGACCCUGGUGUUAAAAAAUGUGCAACCUUCAGACUCUGGACUAUAUAGAUGCUACCUGGCUGCAGAGGUUGGAGGUCGAAAUGACGAGUCUUUAAUUGGAUUGAAUAUCUCAGAAUGUUUGGAUGUGAGCACAGGUUAUUUCAUCGCCACCAUGAUCCCUACUGAUUCCUGUCCUGCUGUAAAAGAAUUAACUGUUUCCUGGGCUGUGAUUGUCCUUUCUCUUAUUAGCGUCAGCAAACUCAUUCUUUGCAUUGCAACUGUAGGGGUGUGUGAUCGAGUCAUAUUUAGAACAGCAAGAAGAAAACAGGAAGUAAGGGAAAGCAAGACUGGAAGGUCAAGCUGGAAAGACUGAGAUUCACAAAAAGCUGAUGGGGUCAUUUUAGUUUUACACAUCCAUAAACCAAGUUAAAACAGUCCAAGCCUGUAAACAUUUACAAGGCUGUUCACACCAUUAGUUUGUGUUGAUAGGAUCCGUUUUAUUUCUGUGUGGUUUUGCUAUUCUUAGUUACUUUGUAUGGGAAGAAUGGGCUAUAAUGGGGGCUGUUAUAUAGCCGUUGAGGGAGACGAGAGUCAUGGAGGGUUGCAAUUCAUUAGGCCUGGGCUCUGCCACAACUGCACACUGUUGUUUAUUUUUACAAUUUUUCCCCCAUAUUUCAUAAUUAUAUAUCUUCUGUAAAUAUUUUUUACUGUCUGUAGUAAAUGUAUAUACUUUAUGGAUCUUUAGGUUUAUAGGGCUGCCAGUGAUUAAUUAAUUAUUUUUUAUAAAUUUGACUGUGAAAAUACCCUCAAAAGAUUAUUUACAGCUAUUGUUAAAUUAGAAAAGUAUCAAGUAGACAUGACAAAAAGUAGCUUUAGAAAUUUUAUUUGUUUAAAAAAAAAAAACACGUUUAGCCUAACAUCUACUAUAUAACAGAAGAUGAUCUGAGAAAAAUCUAAGUAUUUUUUGUUCAUUUGAUUCGUUCAGAUGGUUCAAAGUUCUGCUGCAUGUGGCUUUAUAGGUAAUAUUUUUGUUGCCAAAAUUGAGAAAAAAACAGACAAUAUGUGACCUCGGACCACAAAACCAGUCAUAAGUAGCACGGGUAUAUUAGCAAUAGCCAAUAAUACAUUGUAUGGGUCAAAAUUAUUGAUUUUUCUUUUAUGCCAAAAAUCAUUGGGAUAUUAAGUAAAGAUCAUGUUCCAUGAAGAUAUUUUGUAAAUUUCCAACAUUAAAUAUAUAUAAAAACGUAAUUUUUGAUUAGUAAUAUGCAUUGCUAAAGACUUAAUUUUUACAACUUUAAAAGGCAAUUUUCUCAUUAUUUAGAUUUUUUUUUGCACUCUCAGAUUCAAGAUUUUCAAAUAGUUGUAUCUUGUCCAAAUAUUGUCCUAUCCUAACGAAAAAUUUACCCUUAUGACUGGUUUUGUGGUCCAGGGUCACAUAUUGUGUUUAAAAUAUAACACAAUAUUAACUUCUUAUUUACUGAACUGUUGUAUGAAAUUACAUUUGCACUGGUACUAUUUGGGACAAAAACAGCAUUGAUGUGAUAUUGCACUUGCUGCUCAUGUGAUAUCACUUAUCAUACAACAUAAACAUGAGGCCUUUUUGCCCCAGUAUAUUGAAUUUUAGGGGCAUAUAGCUACAUUUAUGGACUACAUCAUGCAGUGAGCUUUUGCCCUGCAUCAUGUUUGUCAACUCAGCAGUCAACUGGUUGAAAUGAGGUAUAGGUCUGCGUUUGUCUGCUGAGUCUGAGCCGCAGGCGCCGUGGGGCCGCCGAGCUUGGGCUGAUUACUACAUGCUAUCUGGGAAACACAACUAUAGCCUGUUAUAUAUCAGUAGUCCAUGUUUGAGUAAUAAAAUGUUUCUGCCUUGUGUGUGCACUCUAUGUUAUGGGGACCAAAUGUCCCCACCAGAAAUUUUUUAACUUGUCGGGACAUAUCUUUUGGUUUGAUAAUCAAAGGCAAUGUCCUCACUAAGAUAGCGAACAAAGUGUGUGUGUGUGUGUGUGUGUGUGCGUGUGUGUGUGUGUGUGCGCGCGUUUCUGUGACAAAUCAGGACAUAGAUUUGUAUUAUGACAAGGGUAUGACAUAGGUAUUACAAGGAGAAGGUGACUUUUCAGGACAUUACCCCAUGUCCCCACAAUGUCACCUCAAAACGCUUAUAAAUCACACAGAAUGGAGUGUAUUGAAAAUCUGAAAUAGCACAAAGUUUCCUGUAAGGGGUAGGUUUAGGUGUAGGAUUGGUGUAGGGUAAUAGCACAUACAGUUUGAACAGUAUAAAAACCAUUACGCCUAUGGGAUGUCCCCACUUUUCACAAAAACGUACAUGUGUGUGUGUGUGUGUGUGUGUGUGUUUUAAAUAACGCAACCUAUGUGCUGCACCCUUAGGCCUGUUUGUUUUUAAUGUUAUAUUAUCGUAACACCAAAGAGAUGUUCAUUUACAACACGUCCUUUUGUAUAUUAAAUUGUGUAAGCAAUAAAAUAAGAACAUGUAAAAAUUAAAGUGUCGCUGUGUUAUUACGAAUCGUCCAAUGAGAUCGCAUCUUGGAGUUUCCGGUUCUGUUCUGAAGCGAAAGGAGAACGCGCAAGAAAUAAAACAUUGAUCAUGCUGCUCAUCUACUUUAUAAUUUUUCAUUUGAUUCAUCUGUCAGUAUCCACAAAGGAGCACCACUGGAUUAAAAUACCAUGCCCAGCUAGCAUUGAACAAGGUGUAAAAUACAGGAGAAUCACCUGGUACAAGGUUGAAGAGGGUUCUGAUGCGCAGACUGGACUUGUUUUGAAGGAUUUGCUAAAAAACAUUACAGCCCUCUAUAAGUUUGCAAAUUAUUCCUAUGAGGUGGGGGAAGAUAACUCUCUUCUGGUCCCUAGUUCUGCUAAAGUAGACUGUGGCAUUUACAGAUGCACCUUAUGGCCUCCACUGGGUCAUUACAUUCAGGAAGGAAAUACUGAUUAUUAUUCAGCAGACUGCAUAAAGCCUCAAUUACAAGUGGUAAGCUGCAAGAAGCAUGACCUGUCUGCCAAUCAUCGUUUUAAAUACAUCAUAAUCCCAUGUGUGCUGAUGGCUUGUGCUGCUGUUAUCAUGUUUCUAAACAUCAAAAUGAUUAAGAAAACAAAAGAAAAAUAUAAUAUCAAGAAAAAACUUGUGCAAACUGAUGAAAGCAUAUAAGUAACUGUUUUUUUACUGUAUAUGUAAUAAUUGUGCAUUACCAUUUGACAUCAACAGUUUCUGCACAUCACAAGCAGCACAUCGCACUAUCAGCUAAUGAUGUUAUUAUGUAAAAUAAAAUAAAAUAAUACAAAUGCAAGUAUGAUAUGUAAAUGCACGGCCACAUUUUAUUUUAUUCCAAUUUUUGCUAUUAGCAAACUGUUAACUAUGACUCAAUAUACUCUUAAUUUGCUGCAUAUUAAUAGUUAGUAGUUGUUAAGUUAGUUUUGUUGGGUUGUAGAAUAUGGUCAUGUAGAAAAUGUGCUUUAUAAGUACUAAUAAACGGCCAAUUUGAUAAUAAUAGGCAUGCUAACUAAUAGUGAGAAUUGUUCCCUAUACUAAAGUGUUAGCAAAUAAUAAAUAUUUACAUUUUCUUGUUUUUAUUAAUGUUGUUAACAAUUAUUACUAUCUCUUUUGUAAAUAAAUUCUCAGUAAACACUGGAA